rnacentral:rRNA from 1 species
CGAGCGUUGCCCGGAAUUACUGGGCGUAAAGCGCACGUAGGCGGCUUUGCAAGUCGGGUGUGAAAGCCCUCAGCUCAACUGAGGAAGUGCGCCCGAAACUGCAGAGCUUGAGUGCCGGAGAGGGUGGCGGAAUUCCCCAAGUAGAGGUGAAAUUCGUAGAUAUGGGGAGGAACACCGGUGGCGAAGGCGGCCACCUGGACGGUAACUGACGCUGAGGCGCGAAAGCGUGGGGAGCAAACAGG